rnacentral:misc_RNA from 1 species
GAUGAAGAACGCAGCGAAAUGCGAUAAGUAAUGUGAAUGCAGAAUUCAGUGAAUCAUCGAAUCUUUGAACGCACAUUGCGCCCCCUGGUAUUCCGGGGGGCAUGCCUGUCCGAGCGUCAUUACAACCCUCAAGCUCAGCUUGGUGUUGGGCCCCGCCGCCCCGGCGGGCCCUAAAGUCAGUGGCGGUGCCGUCCGGCUCCGAGCGUAGUAAUUCUUCUCGCUCUGGAGGUCCGGUCGUGUGCUCGCCAGCAACCCCAAUUUUUUUCAGGUUGACCUCGGAUCAGGUAGGGAUACCCGCUGAACUUAAGCAUAUCAAUAAGCGGAGGA